rnacentral:rRNA from 1 species
GUAGGGGGCAAGCGUUAUCCGGAUUUACUGGGUGUAAAGGGAGCGCAGGCGGUGCGGCAAGUCUNAUGUGAAAGCCCGGGGCUCAACCCCGGGACUGCAUUGGAAACUGUCGUACUUGAGUAUCGGAGAGGUAAGUGGAAUUCCUAGUGUAGCGGUGAAAUGCGUAGAUAUUAGGAGGAACACCAGUGGCGAAGGCGGCUUANUGGACNAUAACUGACGCUGAGGCUCGAAAGCGUGGGGAGCAAACAGGAUUAGAUACCCUGGUAGUCCGCACGGUAAACGAUGGAUGCCCGCUGUUGGUCUGAAUAGGUCAGUGGCCAAGCGAAAGCNNUAAGCCUUCCACCUGGGGAGU